CCUACGGGGUGCAGCAGUGAGGAAUAUUGGUCAAUGGACGAGAGUCUGAACCAGCCAAGUCGCGUGAAGGAUGACUGUCCUGUGGGUUGUAAACUUCUUUUAUAUGGGAAUAAAAUGUUCCACGUGUCGGAUUAUGUCUGUACCAUAUGAAUAAGGAUCGGCUAACUCCGUGCCAGCAGCCGCGGUAAUACGGAGGAUCCGAGCGUUAUCCGGAUUUAUUGGGUUUAAAGGGAGCGUAGGUGGUUUGGUAAGUCAGUUGUGAAAGUUUGCGGCUCAACCGUAAAAUUGCAGUUGAAGCUGGCAGUCUUGAGUACAGUAGAGGUGGGCGGAAUUCGUGGUGUAGCGGUGAAAUGCUUAGAUAUCACGAAGAACUCCGAUUGCGAAGGCAGUUCACUGGACUGCAACUGACACUGAGGCUCGAAAGUGUGGGUAUCAAACAGGAUUAGAUACCCGUGUAGUC
rnacentral:rRNA from 1 species